UCAGGGUCUUUACCUUUAACUUCUGGAGCUGGUGACACCUUAAAUGGGUUAUACCAGCUCAUUGGGUAUCAUUUAGAAGCCAAUCAACCCAAAUUAUCUUCAGUGCUAUGUAACGAAACUAAGUUCAAGCACUUCUCUCAAAGUGUUUUCCUGAGGCGCUUCUGUGAGCUCAAGCUGUGUUGCAUUUACAGGACAAUUUAGGUCUGAGGAUCACUUGAGACUUCAUCAGCAAGGUUCUGUGCUGCCCAGGGUGCAGCUCUGAGCUCACACUCAGGGUCACUCAGCUCCCUGCACACAGCAGCGACACAAAACAAAUCCUUUUCCUGCUGCACACCAAGGACAACUGGGACAAGUUUUCAGCCCCAAAAGCACAAACAGCAGUGGCUGGAGGGAGGAACAAGAAGGAUGGGACUUCACAACCUGAAGCUGGAAUGGGAUAAUUCAACCAAAUGUGCAAAUGGACCAAAACAGAUCCAAGUGUGAGACCUCGUGACCCUUUGUCCAUUUUGUGCCCAUUUUGGGUCCACCUUGGGUGCAGCCCUGGCCAGGCUCUGUCCUGCCCAAGGUGUACCCUAAAGGACAUUCAAUGAAUAUCUCCUUUAUUCUCCAGCUCUGUGCAGUCUCUGUCCCAGCUCAGCCUUCCCAAGGUGUCAGGUGGAGCCGUGGAGUUGGGUGAUGGAUGGGCCAGGAACAAGGCUGGGACUGCUCUGGGGUCGGAGGCUUUUUCUGGAGCAGGGAGGAAGGGUUUGCCCAGAAUAAAUUCGACGCAGUGGAACAAAGUGUUCCCCAGAAAUGCGUUCUACAGCCAGGAUAGCAGCAGCCUCACUGCCAAUGAGGGGCCUGCUGCAGGAACACUUUGGCAAGGGGAUAAAAUAAUGGCCAAAUUUGUGCUGAGCAGCCUGAGGGUGGGUGGCUGGAUUAUGCAAUGUUACUGGUACUCAAAAUCCAUUAUCUACUGCAAAGAAUCUCUGAAUGAAAUGAAUUGGUAGAUAGAGCAGAUAGCUCUUAAUUUUGUUUUCUUUUCUUCCCUUCCACUCCCUUCCAAAAACUGUGCAUUCAAACACCUCUACUCAAAUCUUUGGAGCUGAGAAGACCAGGAGGACAGAGCCUGUAAUGAAACCUUCAUCAAGAACCUGAGAUCAAGGACCCAUCCUCCCUGCAGGGGAUAUCUGCUGUUCAUGGGCCAUCCAGGCUCACUGCAUGGCUGAGACAAUUCCAGCAUCCAUUGGGAGAUGCUCCACCCAGGGGAGGAGCCCGGCAUUCCCAGCUGGAUAAAACCUGGCAUUGGGAACAGCAGCACAGAGGAACACCAGACCCAUCUCAGCACCACUGGAGCCUUCUACAGGAUCAUCUCUGCUCCAACAGAACCACAUCUGUCACUGCAGGAGGACUGGAUUGGGCUGCUCCCAACACCCUGACCAACAGGGGUCAGGUCGUGUUCUGACUCUGUCAGCGUUUUAUUUCUUUUUGUUUUUUGCUUGUUUGUAAUACUGCAUUUUUAUUUUAAUUUUAUUUUAA